AAUUUUUAAAAAAGGAGUACAUUGGAGAAGAUUUGAAAUUAGUAAAAUAUUAGUUACAUAUAGGUGUAAAAGGUUUCUUCUGAACUUUACCAACUACUAUCAUGUUCAAGCUGGAGCUUUAAUUCAUUCGAGCGACUAUCUCCACAAUUUCUGCUGUGAAAUGUAUAAAUGAUGAUCCAAACAGAUAAUAUAAAUGAGCUGAACGAAUGGUGGUAUUUUUGCCCAUGUCGCAUGUAUGCUUUUGGAGUAUCGGUAGGUGCAGACCUACAGUAUUUUGUGUGGAGCCGUAGAAAAUGAGUAAUAAAUUACUAAAUUAACGAAAAAUUGAAAUAAUUGUCAUGAUGGGAAACAAACUUUUGAAAUUUCGAGGACUAUCAAUGGUGAUUCUGUUUCCAUAUGUUAAUAAAUAAACAACAAAAGCUGAAAAGCACUACAGGUGAGGCAUUUUUCAAAAUUUUAAUGAAACACUUGUACUGUACCAUACAUUCAUUUAUUGAAAUAUACUAUAAUUUAUUACUAUUAUAUAAUAUUUCAACUCGAUUACUACUUGUAUAUAAUGCACAUAUCAAUGGCCUGCCCUGGGGGUACACCCCCGGGACUUUGCAAAAACAUGGUUCUAAUGCAUUAAUUCCCCCUGCCCUAGAGUUCUGAUUUCUAUAAUCACAAAUAGCAAAAAAGACGACUCUGAAAAUGCUAUUUCCAAGAUCUAGAGACUCAAAAUUUUCAAAAUUUCCCUGCUCAGGGGUGGGCAUCUACAAAAAGGGACCAUACUAUAUUGAGUGUGGAGAGAUGACAGAUGGUUGUUGGUGACAAAAAGCUUGGUGUGGUAUCGUAUGUAUUAGUAGGGGGUCCGGGGAUUCUCCCCCAGAAAAUUUUUUGUAUUUUUCCACCCCUAGAACUGAAAUGUGAGCAUUUUCUGAAACAGAUUUUUGGAUAUACAGCGUUACAUUGUGCGUUGAUAGACCAAAUCUGAUCAGUUAAGUGUAUUUGCAUGGUAUGUUUAUGUAAAUACCACAACUGGGUCACUCAGGGGGUAGCAAGCUUGUUAAACUUAGUGGGCCCGACUCCCAUGAUUGCGAGGCACUACCAUGGUUGGUGCCCAGACAAGUUCUUAAAAAAAUCCUGUGUUCAAAUCAUUUUGCUGUAUGAAGAUGGGUCAUGGGUUAGGGUUAUGGUAGGACAAAUGUUGCAUUGCAAAAUAGUAACACAUAAUAUAUACUUUUAAUCACAUAUGGUUGAAUCAUAUUCACCAGGGUAAAACAUCAUGAGCUACAUUAAACAGAUUGUCCUAAUAUCUAACUUUACAUGCAAUGCACACCUGUUUCAUUGCUAUUAAUUUUUCAAUCCACACUGGGGGGUGGGGGUCAGAAAAGUUUCUACUUUUAUGAGGGGGGAGGCACAAAAAGUUUGCCUUCAGUUCUGUAGGGGGGGGGGGUCAAAAAAGUUUUCAAUCCUUAUUUUUCCCAUUUCCCAACACCCCCCUCCCCAUAAAUAAUGACCACUCCCUAAUUUCCCCGGGGUUCACAGGCAGAACACACAGAUCAAAUACCAAAUUCCCCCUCGUUUCCCCCCAGUUGUCCCGGGGGUGUACCCCCGGGCAGGCCGUUGAUAUUUGCAUAAUUCUCUUUCAAAUUGUAUAAAAAGUAUGUUGUUCCUCUUGCAUUUCUACUAUACAUAUAAUUUUAAUGUAUAAAUUUGUGAACACAGCCAUGCUUUGUUGAAACAAAACUUAUGUCGGUUUAUGCAUAUAUCAUCUAAAUAUUUACCGCUGUUUGUAUUUUUCAGAUUAUGGAAACUGCACAUUGUUGAUCAUGUCUACUCACAAUGUACUCUGUGCACAUUAUGGGGAAAGUAAAUCUGCACUAAUAAAUACCCAAAUGUAUAUGGCUCUACGUUUGUCACUGGAAUCAUUGUUAUAUUCGAUGGCAAUUCAUGGCAAUAGAAUCAUAUUGUUUGACCAGGCAAAGGAUUAGUUAAUUAUGGAUCUAGCACACCAAACAAUAAUUAUAUAUUAUUUUAUUAAACAUAUUCUUAUGUGCAUUAUUAAUUUUCAUUACAAAUUAGAUUUAUUCAACAUUUAAAAAGUUUAAUUUAAAAAUAUAUACAAUAUUAUAUUACUAUUACAGGCCAUCAAUAAGUAUUCUUGGUCUCAUACCCAUGUUUUAUUUUGUUAAUUCCAUAAGGGUAUUUUCGGGUUGUCCCAAAUUAUACAAGUGAAACACGCACAUAGCUAUCGCUUUUAAUAAAAUAGAUAUUUGAUGUCAUAUUUACUUCAAUAUAUUUUAUUGAAGCUAUGCCUGGCUAUAAUUAGCUAAUAUUUCCAGUGGUGGCACCAGCAGUGGGGACAUCCCCCCCCCCUUAAAAUAUUUUUCAAACCAAGAAUAUUUAUUAAAUAUGGCCUAAUAAAUAAAUUAAAAUUAACACUCACACAACAUUGACACAUUAUAAGUCCUACACAAAGUUACUUAAUGAAUUUAAUAUCAUGGCAAUUGUGCCAAUUAUGUUGUUCUUGAACAACUGUCUGAGUGGGUUUUUGCUCUAUUUGGGCACACAAUUUUUG
rnacentral:lncRNA from 1 species